ensembl:lncRNA
GAGCAGAAUGUGGAGUGGAGACCAUAGGAAAUGUAGACUGCAGCCCGCCAGAUUCUUCUGUCCAUGAGGAUUCUCCAGGCAAGAAAACUGGAGUGGGUUGCCAUGCCAUUCUCCAGGGGAUCUUCUCAUCCCAGGAAUCAAACCCAGGUCUCCUGCAUUGCAGGCAGAUUCUUUACUGACAGCCACCAGGGAAGGGAGGAUGAUUAUGAAGAGAACAGUCUUGCAAAACAGUGUCUCCCUCCCAAGCGGAGGACAGGCUUGUGUACUGUCUACUGUGAUGAAGACCCUGUCUCCCUCCAUGGCAGGGUUUCAUCAUCAUUACUGAAUGAUACUCCAUUAUGUGAAUGUAUCAGACUUCCUGAAUUCCAUAUCUUCUUUUGAACUCCCACAAUCUUUAAUUAAUAAUUUUCCUGCUCAACUCACCACUUAAUAUCUUGCAUUUUAGUUAUUAAAGCAUACUUAUUAAAAAA